rnacentral:rRNA from 1 species
AUACGUAGGUGACAAGCGUUAUCCGGAUUUACUGGGCGUAAAGGGCGUGUAGGCGGUCUUGCAAGUCAGAAGUGAAAUUCCUGAGCUCAACUCGGGCGCUGCUUCUGAAACUGCAGGACUUGAGUGCUGGAGGGGAUAGCGGAAUUCCUAGUGGAGCGGUAAAAUGCGCAGAUAUUAGGAAGAACACCGGUGGCGAAGGCGGCUAUCUGGACAGUAACUGACGCUGAGGCGCGAAAGCGUGGGGAGCAAACAGGAUUAGAUACCCUGGUAGUCCACGCUGUAAACUAUGAUAACUAUCUUUUAGCGAUACACAGUUAGAGGGUACGAGAAAUCAUUAAGUUAUCCACCUGGGGAUUACGUUCGCAAGAAUGAAACUCAAAUGAAUUGACGGGG